UCUCGGCUUAUCACCGGCAGUCCCCCUAGAGUGCCCAACUGAAUGAUGGCAACUAAGGGCGAGGGUUGCGCUCGUUGCGGGACUUAACCCAACAUCUCACGACACGAGCUGACGACAACCAUGCACCACCUGUAAACCGACCGCAAGCGGGGCACCUGUCUCCAGGCGUUACCGGUUCAUGUCAAGCCUUGGUAAGGUUCUUCGCGUUGCAUCGAAUUAAACCACAUGCUCCACCGCUUGUGCGGGUCCCCGUCAAUUCCUUUGAGUUUCAACCUUGCAGUCGUACUCCCCAGGCGGAGUGCUUAAUGCGUUAGCUGCGCCACCCAAGCUCUAUGAGCCCGGACAGCUAGUUAUCAUCGUUUACGGCGUGGACUAC
rnacentral:misc_RNA from 1 species